AACGAACGCUGGCGGCAUGCUUAACACAUGCAAGUCGAACGGUAAGGCCCUUCGGGCUACACGAUUGGCGAACGGGACAGGAACACUAGGGGGAUCUGCCCUGCACUUCGGGAUGAGCCAGGGAAAGUGGUUCUAAUACCGGAUAGGAGCACUGCCUGCAUGGUCGGUGGCGGAAAGCUUUUGCGGUGAGUGAUGGGCCGGCGGGCUAGCAGCUUGUUGGGGGGGUGAUGGCCUACCAAGGCGACGACGGGUAGCCGGCCUGUGAGGGUGACAAGCUAGACUGGGACUGAGAACGGCCCAGACUCGUACGGGAGGGAGCAGUAAGGAAUUUUCGUCAAUGGGGGAAAGCCUGAACGAGCAACGCCGCGUGGAGGAUGACGGUCUUCGGAUUGCAAACUCCUUUUGUGAGGGACGAUAAUGACGGUACCUGGCGAAUAAGCCCCGGCUAACUCUGUGCCAGCAGCCGCCGUAA
rnacentral:rRNA from 1 species